rnacentral:rRNA from 1 species
AGAGUUUGAUCAUGGCUCAGGAUGAACGCUGGCGGCGUGCUUAACACAUGCAAGUCGAACGAGAAUCAACGGAUUGAGGAUUCGUCCAAAUGAAGUUGAGGAAAGUGGCGGACGGGUGAGUAACGCGUGAGGAACCUGCCUUGGAGUGGGGAAUAACACAACGAAAGCUGUGCUAAUACCGCAUGAUGCAAUUAUCUCGCAUGAGAUUGGUUGCCAAAGAUUUAUCGCUCUGAGAUGGCCUCGCGUCUGAUUAGCUAGUAGGCGGGGUAACAGCCCACCUAGGCGACGAUCAGUAGCCGG